rnacentral:rRNA from 1 species
AUUGAACGCUGGCGGCAUGCUUUACACAUGCAAGUCGAACGGCAGCGCGGGCUUCGGCCUGGCGGCGAGUGGCGAACGGGUGAGUAAUACAUCGGAACGUGCCCAGUAGUGGGGGAUAGCUCGGCGAAAGCCUGAUUAAUACCGCAUACGACCUGAGGGUGAAAGCGGGGGAUCUUCGGACCUCGCGCUAUUGGAGCGGCCGAUGGCAGAUUAGCUAGUUGGUGGGGUAAAGGCCUACCAAGGCGACGAUCUGUAGCUGGUCUGAGAGGACGACCAGCCACACUGGGACUGAGACACGGCCCAGACUCCUACGGGAGGCAGCAGUGGGGAAUUUUGGACAAUGGGCGAAAGCCUGAUCCAGCAAUGCCGCGUGUGUGAUGAAGGCCUUCGGGUUGUAAAGCACUUUUGGCGGGAACGAAAAGGACUGUGCCAAUACCACGGUUCGAUGACGGUACCCGCAGAAUAAGCACCGGCUAACUACGUG